rfam:Medicago truncatula strain A17 chromosome 1, whole genome shotgun sequence.
UUUUUGUUUCGUUUUGGUCCCUUAACUUAUUUUUUUGUUUCAUUUUGGUCCCUUAACUUAUUUUUUGGUUUCAUUUUGGUCCCUUAACUCUAAUACAUUCAUCCUAACAUAAAGGACCAAAGCGGUUGAAGGAGGAAGAGUUAAGGGACCAAAACGAAACCAAAAGGUAAGUUAAAGGACCAAAACGAAACUUUUAAUAGUUAAGGCACCAAAACGAAACCAAAAAGUAAGUUAAGGGACAAAAACGAAACUUUUAAUAGUUAAAGGA